rnacentral:rRNA from 1 species
UACGUAGGUGGCAAGCGUUGUCCGGAUUUACUGGGCGUAAAGGGAGCGUAGGCGGAUACUUAAGUGGGAUGUGAAAUACCUGGGCUUAACUUGGGUUCUGCAUUCCAAACUGGGUGUCUAGAGUGUUGGAGAGGAAAGUGGAAUUCCUAGUGUAGCGGUGAAAUGCGUAGAGAUUAGGAAGAACACCAGUGGCGAAGGCGACUUUCUGGACAAUAACUGACGCUGAGGCUCGAAAGCGUGGGGAGCAAACAGGAUUAGAUACCCUGGUAGUCCACGCCGUAAACGAUGGGUACUAGGUGUAGGAGGUAUGGACGACUCCUGUGCCGCCGUUAACACAAUAAGUACCCCGCCUGGGGAGUACGGUCGCAAGAUUAAA